ensembl:snoRNA
AGCCUCUCAGCUCCGCUGGAUUACACAGGCCCAGUGUGUGGUGGGCGUAUUUUUAAGUGUGUGUGGUGGGGGGGGUAGUGGUCCUCCUAAUGCACUUUGGGUAAACUUGCUCCAGAGUGGCUUCUCUGUUCAGAGUGCAACAGCU